UCGACGAUAGCUCAAUGGUGGAGCAUUCGGCUGUUAACCGAAGGGUUGCAGGUUCAAAUCCUGCUCGUCGAGCCA
rnacentral:tRNA from 2 species